rnacentral:rRNA from 1 species
UACGGAGGGUGCAAGCGUUAUCCGGAUUCACUGGGUUUAAAGGGUGCGUAGGUGGGCAGGUAAGUCAGUGGUGAAAUCUCCGGGCUUAACUCGGAAACUGCCAUUGAUACUAUCUUUCUUGAAUACCGUGGAGGUCAGCGGAAUAUGUCAUGUAGCGGUGAAAUGCUUAGAUAUGACAUAGAACAACCAAUUGCGAAGGCAGCUGGCUACACGAAUAUUGACACUGAUGCACGAAAGCGUGGGAUAAACAGGA